GGGGUGGGAGGAGAAGGAAGGGGAGAGAGCUGAGGAAAAAGUUUGAAAAUGCCUUGAACUAUUCACUGUCGAGAUGGCUAAUCAGUAUUGAGGCCGGAGGGCAGGCGGGCCGCCUUUCACCGCCGCUUCGCUUUCAUCUAGGGCUCGGCGGAGGCGCUCAAUUAAAAGCCUAUCAGUUUCUGUAACGUCCCCGACCUCGCUGAUGGCGUUGCCUGGGCUUUGCAAAUAUGCGGAGGAGACUCACGGGGCAUCUGGGCCUCAGCACUGAAAUCGACGGGAUUUCUCUGGCUGGUGUUUGAGCUGCCUGUAUCCGAAUAAAUCCAGCUCUCAAGCGUCCGGCAGGAAACGGCUCCGGGUUUGCGCGUACGCAGACGCAUCGGCCAGCGCGGGACGCGUUGUGGCUCCUCCUGUUCCGUGCCGCGGCAGGUCCGGCCUCUGAGGGAGGCUAGCCCAGCAGCGCCUUUAGGCCGAACGGCCGCUCGCGGCCCGGCAGUGCCUGGCAGCUCCCAUCUCCGGCGGUAGUCGGCAACCGCUGGGCCAAGUCCGCCCGCGGCGAAAACUGAAAGCAAAUUCCGCGGCAGAUGAAGCCCGAACUUUCUUGGACGCAAGUUUGCAGUAGAGAUUCGGUGGCGGCUUUGGGAGGACAGCGCGCUAGUGUGUGCGCGCGCAAGGUGGGGCGGUGGGCGAAGAGAGCACCCGGCGGCCGAGCCUGGCCCGAGGCGAAACACUAGGGAAGGCGCCUUCCCUUCUUUAUUUCUCGCCAACUCCUCGGCUCCUGUCCGUAAAAAUAGUUUCCAAGGUGCCUCGGACGCCCAGAAUGUGUUUAUGGGGAUCGCACCAGAGAAAGGAAGGCUUUGUAAAAGUUGUAGAAAGAGCUUUGCGCAGCGUUCGCCCAGCGGGGUUCAAGAAAGCUUGGGACUAGCUCGCCUUCCCUGGGGAGGAAUAGCCAGAAAUUGGCCUGGGGAGCCCCCUGCCUAGUCCUGUCCCCUCACCUCCAACCCACGAGUAUAUAAGCUCUCGCUGCCUGCGCUGCAAACUUCUCGGCGCGGCGCCGCGGUCAGCGGGCGAGGACAGGACGCAGAGCGGGCCGGCAAGGCCGCUCCUCGGAGCUCUCAGCCCCAGCCCUGAGUGAGGCUUGCGCGGAGGUGAGAGGACGAGUGUGGUUCCCGCUCCCACUUGGCUGCCGAAACCGUCAUCGCCGACCUCCCAACUCCCGGAGCCGGCGCUUCCCCUGGGAGCGGCGGUCUUGGGGGGCUGGCGAGGGCGCAAAGUGCGCGUGCGAAGCGAAGCGCACGAGGGCGGGGGCGGCCGCGGGUCU
rnacentral:lncRNA from 1 species